rnacentral:rRNA from 1 species
CCUACGGGGGGCAGCAGUGAGGAAUAUUGGUCAAUGGCCGAGAGGCUGAACCAGCCAAGUCGCGUGAGGGAUGACGGCCCUACGGAUUGUAAACCUCUUUUGCCGGGGAGCAAAGAGCGGUACGUGUCCCGCCUCGAGAGUACCCGGAGAAAAAGCAUCGGCUAACGCCGUGCCAGCAGCCGCGGUAAUACGGCGGAUGCGAGCGUUAUCCGGAUUUAUUGGGUUUAAAGGGUGCGAAGGCGGCAGUGAAAGUCAGCGGUAAAAUUGCGGGGCGCAACCUCGUCCCGCCGUUGAAACUGCGUUUCUUGAGUGGGCGAGAAGUACGCGGAAUGCGUGGUGUAGCGGUGAAAUGCAUAGAUAGCACGCAGAACUCCGAUUGCGAAGGCAGCGUACCGGUGCGCAACUGACGCUCAGGCACGAAAGCGUGGGUAUCGAACAGGAUUAGAUACCCGAGUAGUC